rnacentral:rRNA from 1 species
UUGAAAGGGAAACGAUUGAAGUCAGUCGUACCAGCGGGAAAUCAACCUUUCGAGUGUUGUUUUGGAGUUUUGAAGUGUGUCAAAACCUUUGAGAUUUUAAAAUUUUCGCUCUUUUGGUGUACUUUCUCGUGGGUAGGUUAACAUCGAUUUUGAUCAUCAUAAAAAGACUGGAGGAAUGUAGCUUCGAUCUUGUAUUGAAGUGUUAUAGCCUUUGGUAAAUGUGAUGAUUAGGAUCGAGGAUUGCAACGAAUACCCUUCUGGGCUAUCCGCCUGAUCUCUGAUACGUGGCCUUGGCAUCGAAAGCUUGCUUAUGGUAUCAAGGUAUUACGGUCAAAAGGUUAGAACGGAUUACAUUCGUUAAGGAUGUUGACGUA